UCAGGUUUUUCCAGUUUGGCACUGGUUCCCUUGGAGGUUUCUGCUCAUGGGUUUCUGCUCUGCAGGUGAAAAUAUUGUGCCACUUCCUUAUAACCUCCAAAGUGUCUGAUGUGAAAUUGCUGUCAUUAGCAUGGAUUAUUUUCCCCCUAUAGUCAAAAGACACCGAAGGUCGUCGACACAGCAUCCAAAAAUGCUUCCUGGGGAAGAUGGACCAAGACGCUGCCGCGACAGGCUCCAAGAGGAAGAGUGGUAGCAGGCUAUAACACAGAGGAUAAUCUUGUCUCCAAAAGAGGUAAUGAGUGAGAAGAGCAAUGAUAGAAAUAAUUUAAAAGCUUUGGCUAAAAAACUGUUUCCCUCCAAUAGAUUACCAUUCCCUGAGUCACUACCUCUACAGAUAAGUUUGCCAGAUAAAAUUCAAGGCACCCAGUGAAAUUUGAAUUUGAGAUCAACAAUGAAUAAUUUUUUGGCACAUGUAUUUCAUGCAAUAUUUGAAAUAAUGUAUUUUUAUAGGUUAAAUAUGGCAAUUUUACCUACAGAUGGAGACUGCAUUUCAGUCAGAUAGUUUUAUGGGGUAUUAAACUAUUAGAUCUCUUCAGAGCUUUCAGGCAUAGUUUAUUCCUCCCUCCUAGAGAAAUAUUCUUCUCCCAAGGCUUCUGUGUCACAUUCUUUCCCACUUGUGUUCCUAUCUCUAAUACUAGUCUUUCUUAGCCUUAUACAAGUACUUUCUCUUUACCCAAUUGCCAUAUACAAUCACACAGGUUGUGUGCUACACAACUUCUGGGGUAUGCCCUUCACCUAGAGUGAUAUGACUGGUUCCCAUAAACAUGCAGUGUACAACCUACACAACUGUACUGAGCAGCUUGGCAUCCACUCUACAUGUUAAUAUUCUCCACAAUUUUAUCUCAGUACACUUGAACUUUUGCUCGUACUGGACAAAUUCAUCUGACCUGAUAAUUUUUAAUACUAUAAAUAUGCAUAUUUUCAAUAUAUGAUAUCACACUGUGAAAUAAAGUUUUGAGAACUUUUUUUUUCACAUAGCAUCAUUUUUUAGGCUACUCUAUAGUUUCCAAAAUAAUUUUAAAAAUUACAUAAUUAUCUUCACCAGUUCUUCAUAUGGACACACUAUGAUUUAUUCAAGCCUUCCCUAUAUUCUAAGGCAUUUUUAAGCAUAACAAUGUAAUUAAACAAGUAGUAUUCUGAGGAUAUGACCAAAGUGCAUUUUGAUUUUUGUAUCGCAAGGUUUUUCCCAUCCCGUGGCAGGACCCAUGACUUCUCUGUUAUGUCCUAGCUACCUGCAGAAAAGAAGUCACUGUCUGGAGAGUGAGGGUGAACUGUCUUCCUGCACACUGGGCCUGAAUGCUGUUAAAAACUGAUGAUUUCCCCCGUGACUUUCUGUCUGUACCCCCAUGAUCUUCCCACCAGGAUUCUCUUUUGUCCCCCUGCCCUGUGACAUGUUUCCUGUUGGAAAAGAUCCUAUUAAAAUGACCCCAGGUCUACUUGCCUUCUCAGGAUGCCACAUCUGAUCUUUCAGCCCCAGGCAGUUUUGAAGAGACAUCACUCUCUGGAAAUCUUUGCAGGGACAUAUGCUAUCCUUUCUCUUCAGUAAAUACCCAGCAGUGGAAAGGCGGGGUCAUAUUUGGAGUGACAGUUUUAUAUUCCCACCAGCAGUGUAGGAGAGUUCCAGUUAAUCUACACACCCACCAACACUUGGUAUGGUGCCCUUUUAAUUUUAGCUAUUCUAAUAGAUGUGCAGGGGCAUCACACUGUGAUUUUAAUGUUCAUUUCCCUGAUGACUAAUGAUAUGACAGUUUUCUUGUUACUCACAGCCAGAGUAUAUAAUACUAGGAAUGCAGAUGUUUUGCAAGUCCUGUUUGGGCAGGGGGAGGGCAGAAGAGCUGAUAGAACUAUGGACAAGAAAGAUCAGGAUGAGGAAGCAGAGCGAGGGAACUGUAGUCAUGAAGGUCGUGGUCGGAGGUGCAGACACCUUCAAAGACCAGACCCGAUGGUGGGCAUCUGUUAAACAAGACUAGCGAUUUGGGGAAUUGGGAGGCUUCAGCUGGCCCAAAGGAGAGCAUAAAGCUCAGACUUCAUUCCCCUGCUGCUCUGAGAUGCUUGGAAGGAGAAGGUAGAGGGGAACCCCACUGGAGGACAUCAUUCCUGAUAUGAGCCUGAACUUUGAAUUGACUGAAUGUUUACUCAAAAGAGACUGCUUUAAAGCCAAAAGGAUGAGCUCACCAAGGAGGAUAUAGAACAAGGACCAAGCUGGCUCAAUGUGAAGAGGUGAGGACAGGUGAUUACACAAGGAGCCACUCUUGGUGGCUGGGUGCUAUGUGGCCCCUUGGUCAUGAUGGAUUCAUGAGUCAAGUUUAAAGCCAAGUCAGGAAUGGGCAUCACACUGAUCAAUUCAGAGUGCAUUCUCGAAGAAUACCUCUAAUCUCCUUUUAUAAGUCUAUAUUUCAGCUUAUUUUUUCAUCCCAUACUUGUGCAGUUGUUUCAUGGAUCCCAAAUCAAGAAGCUUUUUCGGUAUCAUAUUUUUAUCUUGUUGAACUUGGAUUAUAUUUGAGUCUGUUAAAGGCCUUUCAUGUUCUGAUUUAGUCACUGAUAGGACACACUGUUGAAAAAUCACAAAAGUUUGGAGACAAUGUUAAUGCUGAUAUUCAGCCUCUUAUGGGCCUUAGGAAGAUCACUCGGUUUUCUUCUCUGCAAAAUGCAACAUGUAUAAUGACAUAAUGUGAAUUAAAGUAAUCAAUAAAUAGUGGUGGUAAUCAGUGGUGUGCUGGUAAAUGUUUAACAACUGAUUCUGUUCAGUGCUUAUCAAUUUCUGUGUUGUAAAUCCUAAUGUUAUGGCUGAUGUCAAACUACAUUGUGAUGCCACUGGGGAUGAGGUUGGGCAGAGAUGAGCACAAUCUGCUCUUCUGAGCUGGGGCCAGCCAGCUCCCGCAUCCCACUGAUGGCAGUUGUAUUUUGAUUCUGUCAGCUAAAGUAUUGGAUCUUGUCAUCUGUAAAUAUAUGAGCAUUACUUUAAUAUUUUUAUCCAAAUCUCAAUGAAUGUUUCGUACUGAACAGGAAGGAGAUUGGUAAUUUGCCCAGGAGGACUCCAUCAGGUUGUUAGCAGUCUAUUUCUGUGAACUUUAAAAUUUCUUAUCAAUCAGUUUUUAAUCAACAUCAUUACAACUUGAUUCACUCAAUAUUUGUCCAUCUUGACUCAGGCCGUCUUGAAAUUUUUUAAAAUCCUGUGUUGAAGUUGAAUUACAUUUUUUCUACAUUUCCUAACCUGGCAGUUCUCAGCACUGACCACCGUUAGAAUCACCUGAGAAACCUUGAGGAUACACUUAAGAUACACUGAAGGCCCAGCCCAGGGCGGGCUACAUAAUUUGUAGGGAUGAGUACAUAAUGGAAAUGCAGGACCACUUGUUCAAAAAUUAUUAAGAAUUUCAAAAUGGCGAUUUUGCAGAGCAUGAAACCAAGUGUGGGCCCUUCUGAGCCUGGGACCCUGUGCAACUGUACAGGCUGGGCACCCAUGAAGUAGCCUAUUCUAGUCAUUUAAUCAUUGGUUUUCCAAGGUGAAAUAUGGGAAUUCACACUGUUUAAAAUCUUUCCAGGUGGCUCUAAUGUGUAGUCAGAGUUGAGAACUUGAUGGUCCUCAAACUUAUUGCAGUGGAAUCCGAGGUUGUUAAAACACAGAUGGCUGAGCCCCACCUUAGAGUUUCUGACUCAAUAGGCCUGGGAUGGGGCACUAGAAUUUGCAUUUCCUUCAAGAUCCCAGGGGAUGCUGAUGCUGCUAGCCUGGGAACCGCAUUCUGAGAAUCAUUGACCUCAAGGGUGAAGUGCCAAGCCCUUGUACGGUAUGCAUUGUCUUUAUGAUCUGACUCCUGCCUGCCUCCAGGUGGUGGAGUCUUAAACUCAAGCCACGUGGAGCUCCUCACCAAUCCUCAAAUUCCCCAUGCUCUUGCAUGCCUUCAUGCAAGAGCUGUAGUUCUUGUGUCUGCAGGAAAAUUUCUGUUCCUCCCUUAAGGAUUCCCUUCUCCAGGCCCUCUUCCUGCGCUUGGAGGCAGGCAGCCUUCUAUUCUCUGCUGUGUGUCAGCACUCAUUGUGCUCACAGUCUACUCGUAUGUGUCUCUGAGAGCAGAUGACUGUGUCUUUCAUCUUUGUCUUCUCAGGGUCUGACACACUGUGAGCAUUUAAUAAGGAUGCUCACAUCUUUAUUAAAUGUGUACAUGGAGAGAAUAAUUUAAUUAUGUGUUCUGAGUAAAUACAUGAUCGUUCUUCAUGAUUACUAUUGUCUGGAUAGGAUCUAAGAAAGAGUGAAGGAGUUUGUUUUCCUCUAAUCCUUACAAGGUGACUUAAAAAUGCAUGCUGAUGAUGCCUAAGAGAACUGGGCUAGGGAUAGAGAUCAAUUGUUGUAGAUCCCUUUCUACAGGUGGAAAAACACAUCACAUUCUUGACUGAAUCAGCAUUUUGAUUUUUGCCUUUAGCAAAGAGAUUUUAAUGAACAACUUCAACCCUAAGGCUAUUACCAUCAUGUUUUAUAUGGAAUGAGACAACCUUUUGCAAAGAGCAAUGGUAGCUUAAGAAAAAAUCCAUCAAUAUUUAGGGUUUUGUUUUUCCCCUGACUGCAUGUGACUGAACAUUGAUUGGACUGAGAAAUGAUGUGAAAAAGAGAAUAUAAACAUAUAUGUAUUGUGAAGGGAUUAAUGAGCAAAUAUCCAAAGUUUUUUGGUCAGUUGUUGGUCCAUAAAGCCCUGUUUUAAAGUGUGUGUGGGAGUGUGUGUGUGUGUGUGUGGUUUGUGUGGGGCUGUGUGUGUGAUUGUGUGUGUGUGUGUGUGUGGGGUACGGGUGGUAUUAUGUGUGUGUGAUUGUGUGUAUUUGUGUGUGGUAUGGUGGGAUAUGUGUGUGAUUGUGUGUGUGCGUGUGAGUGGUAUGUGUGGGGCUGUCUGUGUGUGUGAGGUGUGGGUUGGAUGGAGGUGGUGAGGAAAAGAGGUUGCUUGAGGUUUCUCCCUCGAGGGAUCAUGCACACCCACAUAAAAUCCAAAUAUAAUAAAUUUUGGAAUGCAAGCACAGAUUAUCCAUCUAGCUGCAGAGGUGGAAGGCUGCCUUCAGACAUGGAAAAUGACAGAUAAUUAUCCAGUCUUUUGACAGCAUGUCUGCUACCUAAUAAUUCAAACUACUGGUAUGAAGAAGAAAGCCAAGAAUCCUGAUGAAGUUAGAAGAGAAGCUUAACAAUUUGCCUCCACCUUCUGCAUUGGAGUCUAUUCUUCUAUAUUUAGCUGCAGAAGUGGUGAAAGGUAGCCAAGCAGAGAACAACCCAGAUACUUAGGGGAGCUGCAGUUUUACCCUUUGGUUCGUGUGUAGCACCUUUCUUUCAGUUCAGUUCAUGUGUAGCUCCUUUUUCUACAAAUGUUAAGAAAAAGUGCAAUUCCAAAGAAUAGUCAAAUAAUAAGAAUCCCUUACAUUUGCAGAAUGCUUCAGAAGUUAAAAGAGAUCUCAUUUAUUUCUUAGAACACUAACCCUGUAGGGAAGCCAAGAUGGGCAUCAUUGUCUCUUUUAUACAGAUUGGGGCAUGCAAGGCCAUGCAAAAUGAUCACUGGCGUAGCUAACAAGAAUCUACAUUUCAGAUUCCUUGUCCACAUAGUCCACUUUAAAUUAAAAUACAGCGCUACUUUUAUAUUCAUGGGGUUAGGUUUUUCAUAAGGAGCACUUAAAACAGUGCCCCAGCAAUUUCAUUGGAAGUAAUCUGAUCAGUGUAGAUUGAUUUCACAAAUUCCCUUUUCAUCAAAAAGGAGUUUUAAGGAAAGAAUUACGUAGAUAGUUUUCUCAAAUCUUUACUUGAUUUUGCUUCAAUUUACUUACACGUUCUUUAUUUAUUACCUUGCUUUCCUACAUAUGAUCUGAUUUAACAAACCAUGAAUGAUACAUAAAUCACUAUCAUCAGCACAAUCAGCCCUUAUUCAGAGCAGGGAUCCAGCCAGGGGCCACAAAUGCAUUGUGACAUUCCUAUCUUAUUAGUUAUCUGAUUUAGGUCCCCAGGAAGAGAUUUAUCAUUAGAUUGUAUGAUAAGCAUUCUUUACUUGUCUUUUUCUCUAAUUGUUAAAACACACACAGACUCACAUGCUCCUGAGUUACUGAGGAAAAUUGAAUAGGUGCCUAUAACACAGGUUUGACAAUAUAGGAAAACUCCUAAAAAUGUUUUCCUGGAUUCCAAGUGAACCUAGUUGAAGGACGAUAUGUAAUGAACUAAAGCUCAGUGCCUUAUAUGUUCUCUCACAAGAAAAUCAAUUAAUUAUUCAAGAAAUGAAGAGGAAUUUAUGAAAAACUUCUAAAACCUAUUUUUAUUCAAGCCUUUAUACUAAAUAUUGAAAUGAUGUCAGAACUUUCCUUUAUAUUUUUGGUUGAAAUGAGUAUAAAUAACAAUAAUUCCCAAAGGGAUUUCUCUUUUAUUUUACAAGUGAAAAUACCGGCAAUGCUGUCUCUGGGGCAGACGGAAAGAGAAAACUUUCCUAAGUUUUCCUCCUCCACAUCAUUCCCUUUGACCAGGUUCAAAGUAGCUCACACUGGUGUUCUCCUGCUUUGAGAAAAAGCCAAGACUUUUGUUAAAGCCAUUAGGAAUCGCUGCUGGGGAUAUGGCCAUGUCCCAGGCAGGCGGUGGGGUCCCUGCUCAGUCACACUGGGCCCAUCAGUCUUCCGAGGUGAAGCCAGCAGAGGAACGAUCUCCCUUUUAUCCUCCCAUUUCCAGGACUCCCUGGACAGCCCUGAGCAGCCUUGUGCAUAGACAGCUCUGAGAAAAUAAUCUCAUCCAUGCUGGACAUCUCCAGUGAUCCUAGAGAAAAAUGAGAAUCUCUCGAGGGCCAAGCAUGGCAGGAUCUUGCACCUACAAU
rnacentral:lncRNA from 1 species